AACGAACGCUGGCGGCAUGCCUAACACAUGCAAGUCGAACGAGACCUUCGGGUCUAGUGGCGCACGGGUGCGUAACGCGUGGGAACCUGCCCUUAGGUUCGGAAUAACUCCCCGAAAGGGGUGCUAAUACCGGUUAAUGUCUUCGGACCAAAGAUUUAUCGCCUUUGGAUGGGCCCGCGUUGGAUUAGCUAGUUGGUAGGGUAAAAGCCUACCAAGGCGACGAUCCAUAGCUGGUCUGUGAGGAUGAUCAGCCACACUGGGACUGAGACACGGCCCAGACUCGUACGGAAGGGAGCAGUGGGGAGUAUUGGAGGAGGGGCGAAAACGUGAUCCAGCAAUGCCGCGUGAGUGAUGAAGGCCUUAGGGUUGUAAAGCUCUUUUACCCGGGAUGAUAAUGACAGUACCGGGAGAAUAAGCUCCGGCUAACUCCGUG
rnacentral:rRNA from 1 species